AGAGGAAAAGCUGGGUCAAAUGAUGAUUCCCAGAUUUCCAAGGAAUCUCCAUACUGCUUUCCAAAUUGGCUGCACCAAUUUGCAGUUCCACCAGCAAU
rnacentral:pre_miRNA from 1 species